GCCCAUUACAAGCGGGAAAUUUUAUUAUGGGAUAACAGCACAUAAAGCACAUCUAAAAUCGAUGUGUCCAAUGCACUUUUAAUAAAGGUAAUAUUAAAGGUACAGUUUCUAAGUACAAUAUAACAACAUUCAUAUUAGAAUGGAAAGUAUUUCAAAGACAACAUUGCAUUUCUUAUUUUUCUUUACACCUGUAUGUACAAAAUGAAUCAAAAUACUUAUUUCCAUAUUUAAGAAUCAGACAAGAAGGAGCAAAACUACUUUUGUGAAUAGACUACCUGCUAAAGAGAGCUCAAAAGAGCUGGAUAAAAAGGUACAUGAUCAUCUGUUCCCAUCGUAAGUAGCAAACAUGUGACUUAAAAAUUUGUGACAACCACAUACCGGUUUCUGCUUUCUACAGUUCAUACUGCUUUCACAAGGAGAAAUAUCCCACCCACACUCGACCCAUCAUAAAGUUACCCCAACCCCUUGAGCUUACAUUAAACACAGAACAUUAAAGAAAUUCAGAUGUGUUGUAUGCAUCUUUUGCAUACACAUAUGAAUAUUUGAAAUACAAUGCAUUAGUCAAUUAUCUGUUCUCAAUAAAGAAAUCAUUUUAUGAUCACAAAACAAAGUGAAAAACAUCAACGUGGAUUGUCCAUUCUUUUGUCAAAUCCAGAACCUGGAUCAGCAGGUCAUCUUUUAUGCAAUAUUGUCAGCCAGAAUGUACUUCAUCGAUUUGACCAUUUUACAUUACCACAUCCUUCCCAGUUAUGCUACUCAGACGAGAGGGAGAAAUAUAUUUAUAUCAUCUGAAUAUCUAACAUGGUGCCUUAAAUAAACAAGAAAAUGUGUACUUUAUAAAGACAGAAUAUAAGAAAUGUAGUAAACCAUUAGGUGACAGAGUUAACCUACGUGCAAAUACAUUGUCAGCUGAGUACAUGUUCGGAAAACAAAAACAAUAACAUUGAAUACCAUUUAUGCAUCCUGUAACACUGAGAGGCACUCAGUGUAGUACAUUGUGUAUUAUUGCAAGCACAUUCUGGCUGAUAUUUGCUACUGAGUGAAAAGGAAAAAAAAGGUUACAAAAAAUAUCUAACCUCUAACGGUGAUCUUUUUCAUGUCCAUUUUUUCUAAUAACACAUAUGGUGGUGCCAAAGGUCUAAACUGGUCUAAAAGAAAACACUGUUUCAGGGCAGACUAACUUUUAAAUAAGGAAGCCAUAAAAUGGCUGUUUUAAAUGGACAAUAGCACAGUAAAGUACUACACAGCUUGAAGAGGUAAAUACUCCGCAUUUGCAAAUAUGACCAGCUACAAGCCUCAGCAAGUGGUUUUUUACAAUCAGAACAAAGAAAAACAAUACUGCUGUUUUAGACUCUUUUUUUUCAGAAAUCAGAAGAGCAACCCUUAAAUAACCUGUUCAUUAGUAGAUACUGGUUUUGAUAAUAAUUUAAGUGAGAAGGAAAUAAGAGCCUUACCCCAGGACUAGCACACUGAUACAGAAGUUACAAAGUUACCUUUAUACAUGUGAUCAAUAAUAACAUUAAAUAUUGUGGAUUAAAAGUUGAGGAUGAGGGAGAGAGAGAGAAAUGAAGAUAUAUAGUUUACAGGUCAUGAGGUUUUAUCCUCCACCUGGGAACAGAACCAAUCAAAUAUACUGACUAAACAAUAUAACAACCAAAACCAAAUAACACAAAUUAAAACAAAAACAAAAGGGAUAAAUAAGAAGUGUAUUUACAUGCAGAUGUCCAAAGCCUAUGCACAAAAUUAAAAUAAUGCACCACAUAUUAUUGCUUGACAUUCGAUUAUGGCUAGAGGUUUUUUUUUCUCAAUUUUCCAUUUUUACUAUAUUCUAAAAUGUUUUUUUUAAAAUCUUUUUUUCAUCUUAAAACUGUAUUCGCUGUGCUUUGGAAAAUGAGAGUAUUGUUAAAAUGCAAUUCAACUGACUGAUAGAUCUGGGUAACUCUUCAAUACAGCACAGUUGUAAGCAUGACAUCACACAUACCUUUACAAUCUAUAUUCUAUGGCAAAUAAAUAUGAGUCCCAUGAUUCCUAGGCAGUCAAAUCAUCUCAAGAUAACAUGUAUGACAUGCAGGAUGGUGUGUCAACUUGUCUCUUUUUCUACCAAUUACUCUGCACUGAACACGUCAUGAGACUGAGUAGUUAGUCAUUUGCUCCAGUGCGCUUUGAAGGACUAUAAAUUGUAAAGAGGUAUUAUGUCAUGUUUAUAACACUUAAACCCUAUACGGGAUGGAACAAAUCUCUGUGUUACCGAAUCCAGGGAAAGACCUACCAGACUCCUCAUUCACAUAACCCUUUCCCUCUUAGUUUAUUAAAGCCUUGUCUGGGAUUUAUCUUAUGCACACAGUGAGUACACAAACACACACACGCACACUAUUGCUUGUUUACACGAGUGACACAGAGACAGAAGGACCAUAAGGUGUUAUUCACAUUGAUAUACUAGCAGACUCAGCAGCAAUCCUUUGCUACAUAUGUCUAAAAUGAAAGCAUGCAGGAUGAUGUAUCCCUCCACGCAAUGUGGGUGCAGAGAUGUUUGUUGAAACUGACAGACACAAUGCCUCUGAUAAUUUCCCAUUGUCAAAUCAAUAUUGCUAUCAAACUGUACACAA
ensembl:lncRNA